CGCGUAGGCGGCCAUGCGUGUCUUCCGUGAAAUCCCUCGGCUUAACUGAGGACGUGCGGAAGAAACUGCAAGGCUUGAGUCCGGGAGAGGGGGGUGGAAUUCCCAAUGUAGCGGUGAAAUGCGUAGAUAUUGGGAGGAACACCGGUGGCGAAGGCGGCCCCCUGGACCGGUACUGACGCUGAGGCGCGAAAGCGUGGGUAGCAAACG
rnacentral:rRNA from 1 species